rnacentral:rRNA from 1 species
UACGUAGGCAGCGAGCGUUGUUCGGAGUUACUGGGCGUAAAGGGUGUGUAGGCGGUUGUUUAAGUUUGGUGUGAAAUCUCCCGGCUCAACUGGGAGGUGCGCCGAAUACUGAAUGACUUGGAGUGCGGGAGAGGUGAGUGGAAUUCCUGGUGUAGCGGUGAAAUGCGUAGAUAUCAGGAGGAACACCUGCGGCGAAGGCGGGUUGCUGGCUGACACUGACGCUGAGGCGCGAAAGCUAGGGAGCGAACGGG